CACGCUGUAAACGAUGGAUACUAGGUGUGGGGGGACUGACCCCCUCCGUGCCGGAGUUAACACAAUAAGUAUCCCACCUGGGGAGUACGAUCGCAAGGUUGAAACUCAAAGGAAUUGACG
rnacentral:rRNA from 1 species